GUGGGCCAGCUGCAUUCAGGAGGCUGCAAACAGCUGUUCUGGGCUGUGGCAUGUUGGUAUUCCAGCACCUUACAAGAUAGACAUUGUGGUUUUAUCAGCACUCUGGCCAAAUAACAUUGCCCACCCCUGCAUCUACAUGAUACAUUGUUA